rnacentral:rRNA from 1 species
UACGUAGGGUGCGAGCGUUGUCCGGAAUUACUGGGCGUAAAGAGCUCGUAGGCGGUUUGUCGCGUCGUCUGUGAAAUCCUCCAGCUUAGCUGGGGGCGUGCAGGCGAUACGGGCAGACUUGAGUACUACAGGGGAGACUGGAAUUCCUGGUGUAGCGGUGAAAUGCGCAGAUAUCAGGAGGAACACCGGUGGCGAAGGCGGGUCUCUGGGUAGUAACUGACGCUGAGGAGCGAAAGCAUGGGUAGCGAACAGGAUUAGAUA